rnacentral:rRNA from 1 species
AUUGAACGCUGGCGGCAGGCCUAACACAUGCAAGUCGAGCGGUAGCACAGAGAGCUUGCUCUCGGGUGACGAGCGGCGGACGGGUGAGUAAUGUCUGGGAAACUGCCUGAUGGAGGGGGAUAACUACUGGAAACGGUAGCUAAUACCGCAUAACGUCGCAAGACCAAAGUGGGGGACCCUCGGGCCUCAUGCCAUCAGAUGUGCCCAGAUGGGAUUAGCUAGUAGGUGGGGUAACGGCUCACCUAGGCGACGAUCCCUAGCUGGUCUGAGAGGAUUACCAGCCACACUGGAACUGAGACACGGUCCAGACUCCUACGGGAGGCAGCAGUGGGGAAUAUUGCACAAUGGGCGCAAGCCUGAUGCAGCCAUGCCGCGUGUGUGAAGAAGGCCUUCGGGUUGUAAAGCACUUUCAGCGGGGAGGAAGGCGAUAAGGUUAAUAACCUUGUCGAUUGACGUUACCCGCAGAAGAAGCACCGGCUAACUCCGUGCCAGCCGCCGCAGUAA